UUUAAAGGCUUCAAUUCAGUAGAAGCGUUACCAAACUCUCAAAACCCUUCAGAAUGUUGGAGCUUUAAUGGUGAAUGCGUUCCAGAAAUUGGAAGAGAGAAUGUACGGUGUGCUUUGCAAUAGUGAGAAAUCAUCAACAAAAGCGGCUGUGGAUGCUUUUGCUGGGAUGGGUGUUCAAGUUACCGUUGAAGAUUUUGUGCCUUUCAUGGGCAUGGUGGAGCAAACUUCUUAUGUGUUGCUGCUGCUGCUAAGGGUGUUGAAGGAUUUGAUGCCGAGGCUGCAAAGAAGAGGUUCUUUGAGAUAUAUUUAUUAAAGGUGAUUGAAAUUUCAUAUAUUUACGAAUAUCUACUCUCAAAGCAGAUUUCACUGGGCAAUCAUUUGUAGUAUGCAGACCGAAUUAUGGCAUAGGUGUCCCUGGUGCCUUUGAACUUUUCUCUCAGGUAUGUAUAACCUGUGAUACAACUUUACUAAAUGUGGACUUGCUCUUUCUGUUUUUGUUACUUCUCAUUAAUCUGGUGAUAUGGUACGCCAGUGUAAAAGCAGCGGUCUCAAAGUUGCUGUUGCAUCUAGUGCUUACCGAAUUAAAGUUGAUGCAAAGUGGCUGCAGCCGGUUUACCAAUAAUGAUGUCAGUUAACAUAAUAAACUUUGGCUGUGAAUAGUUGCUUCUCAUUCCUUUAAUAAUAGGCAUUCAAGAAACAGUGGAUUAGACUGAAUCAGCACAUAGCAAGAACUAUAUUUUUUUAAAUUAUAAGUGUAGAUAUGUUUUAUUGUAAAGAACUACCUUAUAUCUACUACACUUGGCGUAUAACUUCUGCAAUGGGAAUUACUGGACAUUAAAUUUUUUGCUGACAUAAUGAAUCUGUUAGUCAUGGAAUCAGGUGCUCAGACUCCAAAGGCUGUGAUCUUUCUUAUAUGGCCUUGGGCAAUCCUCCCCUUAUGAGUUAGCUUUUGUUGUUGAGUUAGGCCCACGGACCGUCUCUUUACACAGUAUCAGUGUCGGUCCCAUCAAUCCCUCGACCCCUGUUGUUAUGUUUCUCUUUCUCAAUAUUGAUCCCCCGUAUUAUGUUUUCUGUGCUUAGAUUUUCUAGUCCUGGGUGUGCCCCUAACUUUUUGUGGUUGAGUUAUGUUCAAGGUCCAUCCAUUUCUUCACAGUAUAUAUGCAAACACACACACUAUGCGUUGGUUUGUAAUGUAGUUCGGGAGGACGUAGUACUUUUAUUAAGGCUAAAGUGUACAACUCGGAUGAAAAUCACAGGUUUUGAUGCAAUUGUAUCUGCUGAUGCCUUAAAAAGUUUGAAGCCUGCUCCUGAUAUUUUCUUGGCUGCAUCACGGAUUCUUGAUAUUCCCAAUAGUGAGGUAGAUUCCAGGAUGUGCAAUGCUGUAUUGCUACCACCCAUCACCAUUUUUUUCUUUUUAGACACUUUUAUGUGGGUGGUAUGUGGUACUAACCUGAUGAGAAAUUUACAUUCAAAUUCUGUUUGACUGAGAGUUCCCUACAUUAUUAUCCAUUAGUAACUGUAAUAAUCAGAUGAAGCUAGCUGGAAAACAAAAUUUAAGCAAAGAAGAUACUACAAACUUGAUAAAUAUAUUGGCAACUUUUAUGUUGAAUAUUAUAUUCCUGGAUGGAAAAGAGAUGCUCUAUUGUCAUUCUAUCAGUCAGAACAGUUUUUCUAAAUAUGGAUAUAAAAAUGGGGGUGCAUUAUGAAUUGCUGAAGGUUCAUCUUCAAGGAUGAUGAAGUUUUGAAGUGUUAAAGUAGAUCAGUGUCCUGUUUGUCGAUCUUGGUAGACAUUAUCAUAAUUCUGUAUGUUGACAUUUGUGUUGUGAUUGAAGAUAAAUUAGCUGGAGUACAAGCUGCCAAAGCUGCGAAAAUGAGGUAUUUGUGUUUGAGUGCCUUUCCUUUAUAUAGUUGGACUAUGUACAAUCGUUCAAAGUUGUUGAUAUCACCAACCCUACAUGAACUUUCCUUCAUUUUUUCUGUCAACUGAAUCAGUAAGCUGUAUCAGCAUCAUUCUAAUGUACCUCUUUGCCUCUGUUUUUAGCGAUCAUUUUGAUUCCAUUUUUUCUACAUUCAUAAAUAUGUUGACUUACUUGCAAAUGUAUAGCUGUGACGACAACACUAUCAGAAGAUACUCUAAAAACAGCGGAGCCCACACUUAUCAGAAAGGAGAUAAGCGAUAUUUCACUUGAAAAUAUCCUCGAUGGUGGCUCUGGUAGCCAUAGUAUGUAGUGCACCAACAUGUUAAGAACUUCCCUUUUCGUGUACCAUUGACAAAUGCAGAAUACUGAAGCUCUUUUGUGUUAUUUAUGGAAAAACAUGCGAGUAAGCUCUUUUUUGUAAUGACUAUAACUUGUUGAAGGAUAUCCUGUUCUCUGCUCCCUUAAGCUGUAUGCUUUAGCUGCUAAUUGUUGUCUUUUACUUAGUUGAUGGAAAUUUGAUAGUUCUAGUGUUCCUCUAGCUUAUCAUGUGUGGUUAAUAGUGGCUCCCUUUUUAUGCUUACUAUAAAAUGAAUCUAAUGAUGACAAACAAUGCAGUUGCGGUGGUGCAGGAAUCUCAAUCCAUUAAUGAUCUAGCUCUCUAACACUAAAUCCAAUAUGAUGGAGUAUCUCAGAGCUGGAUUUUUAUCCAACAAGUGAAGCCUAGCAUGCUAGGUCAGAAAAUGCUUGGAUUUCAACUGACAAGUCUUGGUGCUUUCGAUGCUGAAGAAACAUUUCGGCCAGCCAUGAGGAUGAUAUAAGCAUCCAGUAUUCUAGUACUCCAGCUUUAACGUGAAACUUCGUAAGUAGGGCCGGAGACACGAGAGCAAAAAUCUCAGAGUUCAUCAACCAACAGGUAUCUGAGGAAAGACCCCAGCGUUUCAAUAAGAGGAAGGAGUUCAUAUCGGAUGUAUGUCAAGUUGGAAUGUGAAAACUAAAGAAAGUACUUGGGCAGAGUUCUGGUGCUAAGAAAAUCAGAGAUAUGGCCAUUAAUGCCUGGAAGACUGUCUGAAAAUGACAAAGAGGUACGAUGAAGUACUUAUCAUAUUGUUGCUAGCAGACCUGUGUUUAUUUAAACAUAAUUUUGGCAUUUAAGCAUUCAUGUUUCUUUCUCCUACUUCAACAAACAUACACAAAUUUAAGCAAGUAAAAGUUUUUCCUGGUUCAUCGUAUCCUUCCAACUUUUGCUGCCUUACAUUGGAGCAAGUAAGCUGGAUAAGGAAAGAUAUAUCCAAGAAAUGGCUGCUUAUGAACAGCAUAAGAACAAAGAAACUACAACAAAUCCAAACUUGCACAGGGGUUUGGCCCCAAGUAUGAUCAACUUUGGUGCACGGAAUUGAUCAUGGUUAUCAUGUGACUUCACAAGCUUAUACUGGAAGCAACAUUCUCCCUAAUGCAUCCUCUAUUGAGUCCACGGUACAAAUAUUGAAUAAUGGUAAGACAAGUAACCCCAUAUUUCAGAUGUAUUGGUGCUCUUUUGCCUAGUCAAUUUCAGUUGCUACUUUGGUGGGUUUUGAAAGAUAUGUAUAGCUUUCGAUCUGUAAGUAUCUUACAACCUUAGCAUGAUGCUUUUAAGAUGUAUAUAGCUUCUAGUCUUUGAAAACUAGCGUGUCAAGAAGCAGCAUUUGUAGGUUAGUUGGUAGUGGAGGGUUAUCUUGUUUUUUGAGGCGGCGUGUUGGUUUUAUUUUUGUCCUAGUUUUAUUAUUGUGAUUCUUUUAAUUUUUGAUAUCUUAUCACUGUCUGUUGUUAUUUACUGUGUUUUAAUGGUCACAUAACUUACAUAAUUCUCUUUUUUAACUGAUGUUGGUAAUUGUGUCUGUAAUACAAAGUUGAUUUUCUA